GGGGACGUUUUGGAUUAGACAAGGCGUUUUGGUGAAAAUAGAUUGCGAGUCGGAGAGCUGUUCUCCGUUAUCAACGGGCAAACAAAUUAAAUGCUAACAAUGUAAUUAAAGCAGAUUUCGCUCCUGCAUAUGCAGUUGCAGCUUAGUCUGUCAUUAGCUACUUAUAAAACCCAGCUUGCCGGUUUUAUGGGUCAAUUAUGCAAGCGGCAGUGUGCCGAUGCAAAGUGAGCACAUCAAGAUUACUUUGCAAGGUUUAGAGUUUCCUUUAAAUAAAACCUAGGAUCAGUUUGUAUGGUUUAGACAUUUUCCUGAAUUGAUUGAGCUAAAAAUAGUCUACACUCGUAGAAGUUUAUUUUUAUCCGUUUUGGACAGGGGUUCGACUCCCCUCGUCUCCACCA
rnacentral:tmRNA from 1 species